CGGGGUAGAGUAACGCGUGAGGAACCUGCCUCAAAGAGGGGGACAACAGUUGGAAACGACUGCUAAUACCGCAUAAGCCCACGGCUCGGCAUCGAGCAGAGGGAAAAGGAGUGAUCCGCUUUGAGAUGGCCUCGCGUCCGAUUAGCUGGUUGGUGAGGUAACGGCCCACCAAGGCGACGAUCGGUAGCCGGACUGAGAGGUUGAACGGCCACAUUGGGACUGAGACACGGCCCAG
rnacentral:rRNA from 1 species